UUAAACGUGAAAAGAUAUCUCGAAUUGAAGGCAACGAAUUUCCGCGUCGAAUUCGCUUAAAUCCUCAACGAAAGAACAAAACUCGCGAAUUCCACGAACUUCAGAACCGGCGGAAAACUUCGAGCUCUAAACGGGGGCCCGAUUAUCGAAAGAGAGAACCAAGUAGCGGCUCAAGUACUACUGAAUUCCAUCUAAGAAAUCUGUCCGAUUUAUCCUUCUUGAAGGAAGUAUGAAAAUUUCUGUUUAAGAUUAAUAGAGAGAGCGCAGGUGUCAGCUGCGAGUGACGUUUCGUUUCGACGCGAGCAACCCGGAUUAUUACACGCACCGUACGAAAGGAAAGAACAAUGAACAAUGAUUCCAGCGCGCUGACAGUUCGGAUUUAUAGCUUUACACCAGUAGAUAAUACCAUCUUGUCUUGCUUCCUUUCGGGAGGGAAGGGGAUUGGAAAAUUUCAGUCUUCUGGAAUUCAUCUCACAGCCGAGUUUUCUACAGCUUGAUAACAUCGUUCUUUCCAUUAAAACUUAUUACGUUGGAAUUAUAAACGGGGAAUAAAAAUGGAGAUAUGAUGCGAGUCGGAUAUGUAAAUGAAGGAACGAGAAUGUAAAUAAACUGAGGCUGCAAGACGGAAAUGUAAGUGGAAGUGCAAAGUGAAAGAGUAAGAUUGUAACGCAAUUUCGAGAAAUCGAUCGAAGAAAAAAAAACCAAAACCAAAGGCAGGACGAGUUUUGAGGGAUCACGUUCACGUUCGCCUUGUUCCUUCGCUUACGGGCAAUAUUUGCACGGCCUCGAAAAUUAUUGCCUCACAGAUUCGCUCGUAUAAGCGAUACAAACUAUUUGAAAACGAAUAAAACAUUUUUUUCUUUUUCAUCGUAUUUUAAAGGACUAAAAAUAAAAGGACUAAAGGACGACAAGAAGUAAGGUAGCCUUUUUUAAUAAAGCACGAAAUAUUCGUUUUAAUAUUUCUACCCGUGCUUAUUUAUUUUCUCGUUUUGAGAGACGUAUUCUUCCCAUGUAAAAUCAUCUUGAAUCUUACAUGAAAUCAUUUUUGUAGUUUCUUAAAGAAAUAAUAUUAUACUUUAAUCGAGAUUUGAUAAGAAAAUCUUUGAAUUUGUGUUUCUAUUAUAAUGAUUUUUAUUGAAAGUUUGUCGAUUCGCCAUCUUAUAAUCAUAUACAUUACAUACAAUACAUUUCCCUACGUGUCGUUCGUUUAAGAAUACUUUUUUUCGGGAUACAAAUAUUGACGAAAAUGUUGACUCUUCUUUUCUGCUCACUUUGUUCAUCGCGUAAAAGCUUUAGGGAAUAAACGAUGCGCGUAUAUCAAGCUUUGUAUAUCACCGCGCUCCAUUCUUCGAGAAGAAAAAGAAAAGCCAAAUAAAACAAUUUAUAGUUUGCCAAACACUUGUCGCGACAUCUCGAUGUAGGUCCCUUGCGUCCAACUUAACUUUAAAACUUUCAACCGGAACUUCAAACAGGUGUUUUAUUAAACGGUAAACUUUCUUUCGAUUUAUUUUUAAUAUAACAAUUUUUAAAAAAAAACAAUCUUUUGAUAAAUUGCAAUUAUUUUUUUACAUUCGUUUUAAGCUAGAUUUCAUUAACAAAGAAAUAAUAAAUAUAUACAAAAAUAGCAAAAAAUUAGAAAAUAAAUUUUCUUUAUUACGUUUCGUUAUUUUUUCAAGUUUAUAUAGAAGAAUAUUCUUUUAUAUAUAUAUAUAUGUACAAUUUAUUCUAUUGCGAUUGGACUAUUUGACUUAUUUAUUAUUAAUAUAUUUUCAAUUAGUGAGGAAAUCUAUUUUUAUUUUUACAUUUCUAAAUUUCUGUUUAGCAAUUUCUCUUUAGAUCAAUUGUCUAAGUAUUUGCACUAAAAUUUUCGAAUUAACAAAAUUAAAUGAAUAUAAUUUAAAUCCAGUUAAAUUUCUUUCUUUUCAUUCAUCAUCUAACGAAAUUUAAUCAAAAUUCGAAGUUUUCAUACAAAAAUGUAGCAUUGGAUUUUCAUAAAUAAAAUGAAAUACAUAUAAAAAGACUUCAUCACAAGAACAUUGCACAAAAUAAAAUGUUUACAAACAAGUUUAACAUGAAAGAAGUGACAUGUUUUCGAAGGAGUAGGAUAUAAAAGUUAGAAUACGUUAGAGAAGAUAUUUGUCACAACGGCUGGUGUUUUUGAAACGAAAUCAGUUUCGUAUAGUUGGUCAAAAAAGAAAACACGCGAUAGAGCAAGAACUCAAAGAACUUUCAAAAUUCUUUUAUAAUAUGAAAGGAUUGAAUCAAAGAAACAGAAAUUUUUUCAAGACGAAUAAUUUUUAAAUUUUUGAAAUUUUUGUCUAUACUGAUACUUAUAUUUACUUCAUGAAUAUAUUGAUCGUUUAAAAAUUACAGGCAAAUUAAAUUUUUAAUAUAUUUUGCUUCUAUCUAUUUGAAGGAUUUAGAAAAAAGCAUCAACUUGAAACGAAAUUUAAUAAAAAAAAAUAUAUAUUCUCAACGAUAUUUGAAUUAAGAGAAAUACACGAUUAAUUUUUUGUCAAUGUCUCCUUUCAUUACUUAUUUUCAUAAAUUAAAUUUCUAAAAUUUUCAUAAAUUAAGUCUCUAAAAUUGACACAAUAGUAAAACAUUAAUGAAAUUAAAUGAUAAAUAAUUAUUUUAAAAUAAAAAAAUUUUGAAAAUAAAAAUUUAUAUAGUAGAUUAUUUGAAUUUUUUAAAGAUGUUGAUUUGCCUUUUUUAAUUAAAUGUAAAAGAGAACAUUACUUCUUCUUGAAGUUCAUGUCAAAUAAUGAUAUAAUAGCUAUAUAUAUUUACCUAAUCUAAUGAAAUUGUUUAAUGAAUGCAUAAUUAUCAUGCAACGAUUAUCAAACCAAAGAUUUUAUGUUUUUGCAAGAUUUAGAUCAAUUUUUCUACAAAUAUUAUAUUAUUUACUAGAAAAAAGAAAAAAUGAUUUGUAUCUGACAAGUUGACGUAACGAUCAGAUCAUAAAAUUUAAAACACAAAUAUUUUAUAUGACUCGUUUUGUCGCAGUCUUGAAACUUGGACGAUUUAGUCGUUGAUGUAUGAUUUUAUUACAAAGAAAUCAAUAAUUAAAGUAUAAUAACAAUAUUCAAUUUUAUCCGUUCUCGACAUAAAAUAUAUUUUUUCGCAGCCUCGAACCAAAUAAAAUACAUUAUGCGCUUAGAGAAAGAAACCUUAAUUUCUCCAACAAGGAAUAAAGUUUUUAGCUACGGCCAAGAAGCUACAUGUUCUUGGCUACGCUAUUUCAUGUCCGAUUUUCUCUUGCUUUACAAGCAGAAUCCGGAUUAACGGAUUGAAUAAAUUUCCUUUUUAUAAUGGACUCGGGUUGCUUAACGUUAAACAGAUGGCGUUAUAUUCCACGAAACUGCAACGUUUCGACUUUUUGUCGUUUUAAUGUCGGUUUUAACGUUUUUGCUAAUCCGCCAUUAUUCCGUUCAUAUUUUUUAUUUUAUUUUUCGUUCCAUUCGGAUAUAAACUAUUUAACUAAUUUAUCAAGUAUCAAAUGACUCAUGUUUAAAUUUUUAUUUCGAUUCGAAAAAAAAUUAAAUUUUCGAAUGCACAUAAUUCAUGGCCAGUAAAUGUAACCUAUAUCAUACGAUUAUACAACAAUAUAUGCAUUAUAUACUUCGUUUCACACGAAGCUUCGCUGAAAUUAUUCUUAAAAUCUUAGAUCAUCUUUCAGAUUCACUAACUGCAAAGAUUCCAAGAGCGGUUUGGGGUUUCGCAUUUUCGAAAUUCCCCCAUGCGUUCAUAUUCACCAUCGAUUCGAUUCCAGCGAUAGGCGAAGGGGACAAGAAUCCUUUGGAGUUGUAAACAGAGAUUUGCAUAACGGUCAAAGAGGAUUGAUGUUCCAAGGAGAUCGCGCUAAUACGAUGAAAUGUUUCGCGCAUGGGAAUUCGAAGUUUACAGGUUCCGGAAGGAAUUUCAUCGUCGGUUUGCCGGCGAUCGAUCCGCCGUGGAUUAAUCAGUCAACGGUUAGAGGCGGUAAACUCGAGACGGGUUUGUAUUCGCCAUGCGGUAAACCUAUUAUCAUUUGCAUUGCGAUGUCGUCGUAUUUCCAUGCCGAGAUGGAACAGAAUCUACGAAAUGAUACUCUCUCUGGCUACGUCGAUCGUUUUAACCUAAGCUUCCCUGAAUUUCAUUAAGAUGAACUUCCAUUGCGUGCGAUUUUACGCCUUUUUUUUUUUUUGAUAACUGUUUUCUUCUUUUCGAGAAUUUGUGUUUAAGAAUUUUCGAAAACCGAGCAAAUAUAAUACGCGCGGUAUAAUGCUGUGCGACAAUAAUAAUAACAGUAAUAAUAAUAAUAAUAAUAAUAAUAAUAAUAAUAAUAAUAAUAAUAAUAAUAAUAAUAAUAAUAAUAAUAAUAAUAAUAAUAAUAAUAAUAUAACAGCAGUAAUAAUUGUAGCAAUAGCAACGAUAAUAACAGUAAUGAUAGCAGUAGUUGCUCUUCAUAUGACGAUACAUUAAUUCAUUGAGAAUUAUGUAUGACUUUGUUUAAACAAAAAAAAAAAAAGGAAUAUUUUUUAAUAUUAUUAAAAAGAAAAAGUAGGUAUAAUGUUUUCGUUAUACAUACAAUCGGUUUGUUGUGUAUACUAUUGUAUAUGUAUACUAUUAAGAACAUGAUGUUAUUAUUACAUUGAAUUUCGUCUGUAUGUAUGUAACUGUGGCAACGCAGCAAAUGUGAUUUAAUUAUGACGGCCAGUUGAAAUAUGCUUCACACUGAGUAUCUAUUAUUGUCAUUUCAACUGUUGUAAUUUCAUUGUAAUUUCAAAGGCGAUUUUAUAUUCAUAUUUUAUUUUUAUACUCUGCGAAUUCGAAGAGAAUCAUCUCUGAAAGCAUCUAUAAGAAAAAAUUGUUGAAAAUCAUAAAAAUCAUAAAUAUUUAUCUAUAUUAUAUAUUCUAUCGAUAGAUUUCGUUUUGCUUUAUGUUUUUGUGUUUUUACAUUUUUAUUAUAUAUAAUUGUAAUAUUGUACAUAAAUUUGAAUAUAAAAUUGCUUAAAACGAGAAAAUCGAGCAGUGGAUACUUUUUAGGAUGUAAUAUUGAAACGUGUUUAAUCUAAUAUCAAGAUAAAGAGAGCUCUUUAUCAAUUCACGAGUACACGUUACGAAUAUUUUAACCUGAACAUAUCUCCGAACUGAGUUGAAUCAAUUUUCAAAAUCGUUGAUUUGAAAUCUUUUAUCUUGUAGCCUGGAAAAAUCUUGACGCGAUACAAAACAUGAAUUUCUUUGACGCGUUUCUCGUGUUUAAACGCGUGCUCGUUUUUAUUGAAAUCCAUCUGAAAUCUUUCGGUUCGAGCUUCGAAAAAGAAGUAAAAAAAAAAAAAAAAAAAAAAA